UUACUAUUUCUCAAUAUAUAUUAUCUGUUAAGAUUAUAGGGGUAGCAAGAAAUUAAAAACAACACUCAAACCUUCUUACAUUUUCAUUACUGCUACCCAGUAUUAUGGAUGGAUGAGGAUAAAAUGCUGUUUUUAACAGCUAGGUGGGAAGAAAUCUUUAGAUUGAAGGAAACUAUUGUAAUGCAAGAGCAUAACAAACGGGGAAGUAGCUUUUAAUCUCUUUCUUCCUGCUGAUUCUGGUAGAGGGUCCAUGGAGUGUCUCAACCUUAUAGUAAGUUACACUCCAAAAAGCUGACCUGUUUGUUUUCAAUACAGCCAGUUUAGUGGAGGGCACCAUACUUAAAAGUUUUACUCUGUCCAUCACCGCUCUGUAAGCUUGGGGCUCAAGUCUAGUCUCCAGUUGUCCGAGUCCAAGUUUCCUGAUGUAGUCUUGAAGAUGUUGUUUGCGUCGAGGCACAGUAAAAUGACAGUAGUAUCAUUUCAGAAAGGAGUUGAGAAUCAUUCUACUUCUUACUCUCACUUACACUGCAUCUUCUAAAAA